CCUCUCAGAGGGUGGCAGUGUGUCUUUAGCACUGGCACGGGGGACAAGAGGACAUCCUGGCAGAGAAAAUGUGCUGCCAGCUUGGCAGUGCUACACAGGAUGGACUAACACUCCCAUUGCUCCUCUAGAUGUGGGCAAGGACAUCCGUGAGAACACUGACACUCGUUGGCAAGAGCUCUUCAACAUCAAGUUGCAGAUUGUGCAGUACCUGAAAGCAGUCUUUGUAGUCUGUGUAGUAGCAGCCACCUUUUUCCUGAUACUUGUAUUGGUGCUGUGCUGCACAGCAGCCUGCUACUGCCUGAAGAAAGCCAUGGGGUGAGUCGUGACUUUUAUGCCCCCCACUGCUUCCCUCCAGGGCUGCUCAAAGCCACGAAGCAUUUCUAGUCAGAGUGCUGUGGAGCAGUCACUUGGUGAUUGGGCAGAACCUGCCAGCUGCAGAUGAGGACUUGAGCAGCCUCCUCUCUCUACAGGAAACGCUCUGCAGAUCCAGGACACAAGCUGGAAACAGGCAGCUUCCUUUCCAGUCUGAAGAACAAGAGGAGCUCCCCUGACACAGCUCAAAUCUCAGCCAAAGAGCAGAUGCCAGAGCAGCCAUUGAAGACAGCACAAGUGGAGCAUCCACCCAGCCCACUGGAGACAGUGGCAGAGGAGCAGCCACGCAGAUCACAGGAGCCAGUGCCACAAAGGCGUCCACCCAGCACACUGGAGACAGUGGCAGAGGAGCAGCCACGCAGAUCACGGGAGCCAGUGCCACAAAGGCGUCCAUCCAGCACACUGGAGCCACCUCCAGAGGAGUAUCCACGCAGAUCAUGGGACUCAGUGCCACAGAGGCACCCACCCAGACCUCAGCACUCCAUGUCAGCCAGAUCCACGGUGGGGCCACCGAGCUCCCCGAGCAAGACCUUUCAGCAGCCCAGUCAGCAAUGGAGCCAUUCGGCAUCCUCCCACCGCACCAGUCAGCACAGCAACCGAGACUAAGGCUCCUCCUGUUUGUGCUGUGAAGAAAUCAAAGUGGGUUUGUGACAUGGCUUGGUGAGGGCUGCAAGGAAGAUUGGUCCAGUCUAAAGGUUUCUUCACAAUGGAGACAGAGGAGCCCUGUGAAACGGCAUUUGAAUGGAGAGUGCAGGGGACUGAUCCCCGUGGGGAGCAUCCACCCAGGACACCGAAGACAGUAGCUGUUGUGUUUGUGUACUACCUUUUACCUUGUGUAUUUCUGUCUGUAGCUGUAUAGAUUGCAAAUACCUGCUUGUAUGUUGUGCUAAGCUGUCACUAUAAAGCUUCAUUCCUUAAUUCCCA